rnacentral:rRNA from 1 species
CCUACGGGUGGCAGCAGUGGGGAAUAUUGCACAAUGGGGGCAACCCUGAUGCAGCGACGCCGCGUGAGCGAUGAAGUAUUUCGGUAUGUAAAGCUCUAUCAGCAGGGAAGAAAAUGACGGUACCUGACUAAGAAGCCCCGGCUAACUACGUGCCAGCAGCCGCGGUAAUACGUAGGGAGCAAGCGUUAUCCGGAUUUACUGGGUGUAAAGGGAGCGUAGCCGGCUGUGCAAGCCAGAGGUGAAAGCCCGGGGCUCAACCACGGAACUGCAUUUGGAACUGUGUGGCUGGAGUGUCGGAGAGGCAGGCGGAAUUCCUAGUGUAGCGGUGAAAUGCGUAGAUAUUAGGAGGAACACCAGUGGCGAAGGCGGCCUGCUGGACGAUGACUGACGUUGAGGCUCGAAAGCGUGGGGAGCAAACAGGAUUAGAUACCCGGGUAGUC